rnacentral:rRNA from 1 species
UAGGGAAUCUUCCACAAUGGGCGAAAGCCUGAUGGAGCAACGCCACGUGAGUGAAGAAGGGUUUCGGCUCGUAAAACUCUGUUGUUAAAGAAGAACAUAUCUGAGAGUAACUGUUCAGGUAUUGACGGUAUUUAACCAGAAAGCCACGGCUAACUACGUGCCAG